rnacentral:hammerhead_ribozyme from 1 species
AUCUAACUGACGAGUCCCAAAUAGGACGAAACGCGCGUCCUGGAU